UGGGGAAUAUUGGGCAAUGGACGCAAGUCUGACCCAGCAACGCCGCGUGAAGGAAGAAGGCUUUCGGGUUGUAAACUUCUUUUAAGGGGGAAGAGCAGAAGACGGUACCCCUUGAAUAAGCCACGGCUAACUACGUGCCAGCAGCCGCGGUAAUACGUAGGUGGCAAGCGUUGUCCGGAUUUACUGGGUGUAAAGGGCGUGCAGCCGGAGAGACAAGUCAGAUGUGAAAUCCGCAGGCUCAACCUGCGAACUGCAUUUGAAACUGUUUCCCUUGAGUAUCGGAGAGGUCAUCGGAAUUCCUAG
rnacentral:rRNA from 1 species